rnacentral:rRNA from 1 species
GACGAACGCUGGCGGCGUUGCUUAACACAUGCAAGUCGAACGGAAAGGCCCUGCUUUUGUGGGGUGCUCGAGUGGCGAACGGGUGAGUAACACGUGAGUAACCUGCCCUUGACUUUGGGAUAACUUCGGGAAACUGGGGCUAAUACCGGAUAGGAGCUCCUGCUGCAUGGUGGGGGUUGGAAAGUUUCGGCGGUUGGGGAUGGACUCGCGGCUUAUCAGCUUGUUGGUGGGGUAGUGGCUUACCAAGGCUUUGACGGGUAGCCGGCCUGAGAGGGUGACCGGCCACAUUGGGACUGAGAUACGGCCCAGACUCCUACGGGAGGCAGCAGUGGGGAAUAUUGCACAAUGGGCGGAAGCCUGAUGCAGCAACGCCGCGUGCGGGAUGACGGCCUUCGGGUUGUAAACCGCUUUCGCCUGUGACGAAGCGUGAGUGACGGUAAUGGGUAAAGAAGCACCGGCUAACUACGUGCCAGCAGCCGCGGUGAUACGUAGGGUGCGAGCGUUGUCCGGAUUUAUUGGGCGUAAAGGGCUCGUAGGUGGUUGAUCGCGUCGGAAGUGUAAUCUUGGGGCUUAACCCUGAGCGUGCUUUCGAUACGGGUUGACUUGAGGAAGGUAGGGGAGAAUGGAAUUCCUGGUGGAGCGGUGGAAUGCGCAGAUAUCAGGAGGAACACCAGUGGCGAAGGCGGUUCUCUGGGCCUUUCCUGACGCUGAGGAGUGAAAGCGUGGGGAGCGAACAGGCUUAGAUACCCUGGUAGUCCACGCUGUAAACGGUGGGUACUAGGUGUGGGGUCCAUUCCACGGGUUCCGUGCCGUAGCUAACGCUUUAAGUACCCCGCCUGGGGAGUACGGCCGCAAGGCUAAAACUCAAAGGAAUUGACGGGGCCCCGCACAAGCGGCGGAGCAUGCGGAUUAAUUCGAUGCAACGCGUAGAACCUUACCUGGGUUUGACAUGGAUCGGGAGUGCUCAGAGAUGGGUGUGCCUCUUUUGGGGUCGGUUCACAGGUGGUGCAUGGCUGUCGUCAGCUCGUGUCGUGAGAUGUUGGGUUAAGUCCCGCAACGAGCGCAACCCUUGUUCACUGUUGCCAGCACGUUAUGGUGGGGACUCAGUGGAGACCGCCGGGGUCAACUCGGAGGAAGGUGGGGAUGACGUCAAGUCAUCAUGCCCCUUAUGUCCAGGGCUUCACGCAUGCUACAAUGGCUGGUACAGAGAGUGGCGAGCCUGUGAGGGUGAGCGAAUCUCGGAAAGCCGGUCUCAGUUCGGAUUGGGGUCUGCAACUCGACCUCAUGAAGUCGGAGUCGCUAGUAAUCGCAGAUCAGCAACGCUGCGGUGAAUACGUUCCCGGG